AGUGAACGCUGGCGGUAGGCCUAACACAUGCAAGUCGAACGGCAGCACAGGAGAGCUUGCUCUCUGGGUGGCGAGUGGCGGACGGGUGAGGAAUACAUCGGAAUCUACCUUUUCGUGGGGGAUAACGUAGGGAAACUUACGCUAAUACCGCCUACGACCUACGGGUGAAAGUGGGGGACCGCAAGGCCUCACGCGAUUAGAUGAGCCGAUGUCCGAUUAGCGAGUUGGCGGGGUAAUGGCCCACCAAGGCGACGAUCGGUAGCUGGUCUGAGAGGAUGAUCAGCCACACUGGAACCGAGACACGGUCCAGACUCCUACGGGAGGCAGCAGUGGGGAAUAUUGGACAAUGGGCGCAAGCCUGAUCCAGCCAUACCGCGUGGGUGAAGAAGGCCUUCGGGUUGUAAAGCCCUUUUGUUGGGAAAGAAAUCCUGUCGAUUAAUACACGGUGGGGAUGACGGUACCCAAAGAAUAAGCACCGGCUAACUUCGUGCCAGCCGCCGCAGUAAUAC
rnacentral:rRNA from 1 species